CUAUGACUCACUAGUAAUUAUUUCGGGGAUAAAAAAUAUCGUCUUACUAAACCUUACUGGUCGAAGAAGUUUCUCACAAACGAACGCCAUCUCUCUCUCUCGCAUCGUUUGUCUCCCUUCUCUAACCCAUAUCUUCAGAUUUCACGCUCGUUUUUUCUCACAAUGUUUACUCUCGUUCCCAAUUUAUCUUCCGUUUAUGCAAAAGCCCUAAUCUGGUUUGCUUUUGAUUGAAUUGUUCGCCCAGAUUUGGUGGAGGCAAUUGGAAGUCCUCCGUAUCCCUUUAUCGAGUGUUAAUUCAUCUCUUGAAUUCAGACAUGUGCUGCUGUUGACCGGGAGCUGCACCAUCAUCGCCAAAUUGAUGCUUUUCACAGCGGAACCACUGCCUUGACUAUUGUUAGGCAGGCUGCUAAAUAAAUAUGGAGAAAUUAUUUUGAAUGGCGUGGAGUCAUCGCAGGAGAAUAAAAUUGUUCAUCAGAUGCUCCU